rnacentral:rRNA from 1 species
UACAGAGGUCUCAAGCGUUGUUCGGAUUCAUUGGGCGUAAAGGGUGCGUAGGCGGCCAACUAAGUCAGACGUGAAAUCCCUCAGCUUAACUGGGGAACUGCGUCUGAUACUGGAUGGCUUGGAUUCGGGAGAGGAGACUGGAAUUUACGGUGUAGCGGUGAAAUGCGUAGAUAUCGUAAGGAAGACCAGUGGCGAAGGCGGGUCUCUGGACAGUUCCUGACGCUGAGGCACGAAGGUCAGGGGAGCAAACGGG